GUGAUUGACACGUGAACUGCGUUGACACAGUCCAGGCUUCUAAUUGACACACCGGCUGCGUUGACACAGUCCAGGCUGCUAAUUGACACAUCGACUGUGUUGACACAGUCCAGGCUGCUAAUUGACACAUCGGCUGCGUUGACACAGUCCAGGCUGCUAAUUGACACGUGAACUGCACCGGUGCAGUUUAGACUGCAUCGGCUGCUUGGCACAGUACAGGCUGCGCCACUUAGUCCAGGGGGCGUCGACUCAGUGCAGAGGGCGUUGACGCAGCAAAAGCCCGCCACACAGUGUUUAUAAGGAACACCUGCCGAAACAAGCCAGACCUCACUCACGCUCGCUUGUCGAAGCUCGUGUCAGUGCAGACUUCGUGUUCGUGCCUUGCCUUCCUUGCCGAUUAUGGAGCAGAGACGCAAAUCAUCCGCCGUGUGGGACCAUUUUGAUGUCCCGGAGAAUAAGGUGAAAUGUCGAAUUGUCAUACACCAACAGAAGCACCUCCACCAUGCUGAGGCAUUAUCGGGCCAAGCAUGAGAAUGAAGUUCGCGAUACACCCAGUAUUACGCCAGGUUCCACGAAGCAGCUGUACUGGAAGGACCAACACACUUCUUUCCCAAACCUCUCCCACCUCGCAAAGGAGUUCCUUUGUACGCCAGCCUCAUCCGUCCCUUGUGAGCGUGUGUUCUCCACAGCAGGAGAAAUCGCUUGUAAAAGACGCAACAGGCUGAAGUUUAAAACAUUGGAGCAUCUUAUUUUUCUCAAUAAAAAUUUGUGAAAUAAAAGCCCACAAGCAUCCUCAUUCAAAUGAUCUUCACAUUAUUUGAACACAUUGAAUGUUGCAAAAUGAAUGCAUGGAUGUGAAUGAUAUUGUAUACACUUCAUCAUCAAAUCGAUGAAUGACCUUAUGAAAAUGUUUUGGAACAGUUGUAGAUGCAAAACCGUGCUGGC